rnacentral:rRNA from 1 species
UACGUAGGGUGCGAGCGUUGUCCGGGAUUAUUGGGCGUAAAGGGCUCGUAGGCGGUUUGUCGCGUCGGGUGUGAAAACUCAGGGCUUAACCCUGAGCCUGCUUCCGAUACUGGCAGACUAGAGGUAUGCAGGGGAGAAUGGAAUUCCUGGUGUAGCGGUGAAAUGCGCAGAUAUCAGGAGGAACACCAAUGGCGAAGGCAGCACUCUGGGACGUGACUGACGCUGAGACGCGAAAGCGUGGGGAGCAAACAGG